GGGCCAGCUUAGCCUAGCGGUUCCCUCUCAUUUUCUAAGAAAAAUCUCCUACUGGUUCAAGUCCCGUAGGUGCUGCCUGGUCUUUUG
ensembl:vault_RNA Vault Vault RNA